AUAUUAAAAGCUUUUGAUGCCAGUUCAUUAUAAUCCUUCGUCUGCCGCUAGGCGUCUCUGCCUGUACAAACAAGAUCAGUGAGCUUCCUUGCGUUAGUAAGUUUUUGUUUGUGGUCGUUACAAGUUAAUUUGCGCAGAAAAUAUGACUAGAAAGUGGCCGUCGUACCUUGUCAUUCAUUUCUUAGAGUUAUAUGAGCAACGACCCUGUCUGUGGGAUCACAAAAGUCCAUUGUACAAAAAUAGGAAUUUGAGAGAAGAAGCUUUACAGGAAAUAGUUGAGGCUAUGAGUGAAUAUGUACGCAAUUUUGAUGUUAACAUGGCGAAAGCAAAAAUACGCAGUCUCCGGAAUGCGUACAUGUUGGAACUCCACAAGGUUUGGCGUUCAAACAGAAACGCAGAGUCUCCUGACGAUAUUUAUACCCCGACAGUGCCUUGGUUUCCUAUUGCUGACCGCUUCCUGAAGUACGUCGUUGAAACAAGAGAACCGAGAAGUCCUCAGGAGUUGGGAGACGGUGAGGGGAAGCCGAUGCCACAGGAGGGCUCGACGCUGGACGCGUCGUUCUUUGCGGAGGCGGCCCUGGGCAGCAGCAGUGUGCGGUCGCCUGCUGUCCCGAAUGGCGCAUCACGGGAGGACCCGCUGGAGGCGGCGCGCAAGCGCAAGAUCUCGCUGCAGCGCGAGGAGCUCCCCAAGAAACUAAAGCUGGUCAACAUCUCGGACACAGUGAGCAAGGCGGUGAGCUCGUUGCAUCGCGCAGUGGACGCGAUGCAGCAGGCGACGGCGCGGGGCGGAGGCGCGUCGGCGCCGUGUGACGAGUCGGAGGCGUUUGGCCGGGUGGUGGCAGCGCACCUGCGUGCACUGCCGGUGGCCACGGCACUAGAUUGCCAGGCCGACAUCCUCAACUAUCUGUUAGAGCAGCGGCGCAGUGCCCUGCCGGGGGCGGCAGGGGCGGCCGCUCCCGGGUCGUCGACGUGAGAUGGCUGCGGUGCCUGUGCAGGAGUACCAGGUGAGCAAAGGACAUAUCAAACAGACUGGCAAUGGACAAAUCAGAGGAGCAGUCGAUGUCAGAAUUAGGACAGUGUGGAGGGAGGAUACGGGUCAUUAGUGUUGCCGGCAGAGAGAGAUGCACCUCGGCGAUCCAGUCGGAACCUUCAGAUGGCUGAGUGUGGCUGCGGCUGCGACUGGGGCAACUUUACCGUUAUCUCCGUGUGUUGCUGCAUGUGUAAUUUAUUAUGAAUGUAUUGUGUGACAUUCUUUACAGAUUUGGACCUGUACGUUUGAUUUGUGGCGAGUGUGAAGUGGCUCGUUCAGGUGCCUUUCUGGAAGAAGACUGUGCAGUAGUGACUGAGCGUUAGGUCACUGCUAGUUAACAGUUUUGUAACUUCCUUUUUCACUUUUGUGCCACAUUGCUGUCAACAGAGUGAUACUGUUAUUUUUUUUUCUUGCGACUAGUUUGUAAUAAAACUGAAUGAAGAUUU